rnacentral:rRNA from 1 species
GCUACAUCCUGGCCGGCAGCGGCGGUGAUACGGGGGGGGGGAGCGGUAAUCGGAAUUACUGGGCGUAAAGCGUGCGUAGGCGGUCCGGGCAGUCAGCCGUGAAAGCCCCGGGCUCAACCUGGGAACGGCGGUUGGGACGGCCGGACUGGAGUGGGCUAGAGGAUCGUGGAAUUCCGGGUGUAGCGGUGAAAUGCGUAGAGAUCCGGAGGAACACCGAUGGCGAAGGCAGCGGUCUGGGGCCACACUGACGCUGAGGCACGAAAGCGUGGGGAGCAAACAGGAUUAGAUACCCGAGUAGUC